rnacentral:ribozyme from 1 species
AUAACGAAAAGAAGAAGGAAAACAGCAAAGCCUUGAACAAGGCAUACUUUUACACACAUUCCUGUGUAUUUUUUUUCUCUACUACACCACUCCAAUUAUUUUUCUCUGGAAACUUUUCC